CCACACUCGUGACGGGAGAAAAAGGGGCGUUCAUUUUUUCGGGCUGGAAAUUAUUAAGAAUAGGGGGGGAGCACUGCGCCUCGUCCCGUCGCUGGCUGUGAAUUGUGAUGACGCCAUUAGUCCGCUAAAAAGCGAGCCCUGGAGAGAUAAAUCGGAUUCCCUUCGCUCGCUUCACAGAAUCCCGCCACGUGGUACCAACCUGGCAUCGAUACGCUGCAACGGAGGCGGCCUCCUCGGCUCCUCGCCCCACGCCUAAGAGCGAGCGAGCGAGCGAGCGCGAGGAAAAGGAGGGACGGGCAAUGGCGGUCCUCUCCCAAUACCAAUGGCAUAAUCCCCAAAUAUCCCAUAUUCUUUGAUACUUCCGAACUCGCUCUCCCACUUCUAUUAUAUCCUCCUCCUCUCCGUCGAUCCCUUCUCUGGAAACGGAGAAAAGAAGCAGGGGAAGAACAAGAGGAGAAGAAGAAGACGACGACGAAAAAGAGGGACGCCCGAUCUGAAAUUCCCUGAUACCAGAUCUUUGGGUAGAGAGGUAAGCCUGAUUGAGAGAUAUCGGAAGGCGUGCCUUUUGGUCUCUGUUUCUCUUCCAUCCUGCUUUCUGGUUUGAACGGGAACCCCAAUCCUUGGUCGAAGAAACCUGACUUAAUUUUGUUUGUUGCCGGAUCUUUGUAAAGGUCGGUGCUUUUAAUGCUUUCCGUUUUGCACCCCGUCUGAGUUCCCCUGGCGGUGCCCUAAUAAGUAGGAAAGGCGAAAUCUUGGAGGAUUUUGUUGGGGGCGGCGAUGGGAAUAACCUCUUGGCGAUCCUUCUUCUGACGGCCCCUCAUGUGCAACCAGGGAUUGGGCCGCCAUCAAUCUGAGAUCCCUUCGUCGGCCACCGCUGCUGAUUUCUCUCCGAUCCCGGGCGAGAUGGAAUCUGCCACUGUCACCGCCUCCGCGACUGCCGCGCCGGAUGAGCCCCUACGCGUCAAGUUCCUCUGCAGCUUCGGUGGGAGCAUCCUCCCCCGCCCGCUUGACGGGCGGCUCCGCUAUGUUGGGGGCGAGACCAGGAUCGUGACUGUCCCCCGAGACAUCUCCUAUGAGGACUUUUUGGCUCGGAUGCGGGAGCUCUUCGAGGGGGUCGUGGUUAUCAAGUACCAGCAGCCUGAUGAGGACCUUGAUGCUCUGGUCUCGGUUGUGAACGAUGACGAUGUGAUGAAUAUGAUGGAGGAGUACGACAAGCUCGGUGCCACCGGUGAUGGGUUCACUCGGCUCCGGAUCUUCCUCUUCUCGCAGCACCCUGAUCAAGAUGCGGCCUCUAUUGUGCAUUUCGAUGCUGACGAGCGAGAGACCGAGAGGAGGUAUGUCGAUGCCCUUAACAGCCUUAGUGACACUAGAUCCCCGUCGCCACCUGAUAUCUCUGAGCAGUUCUUUGGGCCUCCGAGCAUUGAAGGGGGAAUUCACAAUCAGCUCAGCUUACAUCAUCUCAAGAUUCCUCACCCCUCUCACGGGCAGUGGAAUGGUGAAGUGGAUAGUCCUUGGAGUCCUGCCUACUUCUCCCCGGGCUGCCAUGACCCUAGGGAAUUCCCACCCUCACCCUCAUCUGCAAGAUUCCACUUUGGGCCAGGAGAAUUCAGUGAAAGGAUUUCUGAUGAGUUCGUUAGGCAGUCGCCUGGACACCAACUCCAUCAGUACGAUCGCCAGUCCCCACAUUCAAUGGAGAAUGUGGUGUGGCUCCCCCCAGGAGCCAUCGUCCAAGAAAAGGCUGGAUUUCCAAGCAACUUAGGCCAUUCUCAUAAUGUUGUAGAGGGGAGUAGCAUCUGUGAGCAUUGCCGCAUGGCUUUUAAGAGGAAUCAAGGUUCUGUAUCGGAUGCUCGGUAUCUUGACCCUCGCUGGAAACAUGGGCAGCCUCACAUGGAGCAAUCAAACAUGGGGAAUGAAUAUGUUGGUCAUUUUUCUAAUUCAUGUGCGGAGUGCUACCAUGGCAAGGAGGCAUAUAUGUUAAACCAGGAUGUAAAGCUGGACCAAGGUAGAUAUGUGCAAGAGCAGAACGACCACAAUCGCCCUUUCUAUAACGAGCCUCAUGGUCAGGACAGGGGUUAUGUUUUGCACCACCAUCAGGUUAAUCAUCGACUUGAGGAUCCAAGAGUGCAUCUCUCAGGAACUGGAAGGCUAAGUGAGCACUAUGUUGUUGAUGGCAAUGUCAUGAACGUUCCUUUUGUGCAUGGAAAUGUUUAUAAUGAGCAUACAGUUCCACCGAACUGCAUCAGCCAUGAUGACACCCAUCAUCUUCGACCUGGCACUGAACUUGGGAAUGGAGUGUUUCAUGUCCAACAAACAGUUGGAGGUGGUGCUCACACACAUAUCUUGGGCUUUGAAGAUAGUGCUGUUCGGUAUGGGAAUCAUCCUCCAUAUGGUGCAGACAGUCUUUACCAAGUGCCAAAAAAUUUGGCUCCCAUUCAAUCUUUAAGGAGAAAAGUACAUCCCCCUGUGCGUCCAGGAACAUCUUUUGAAUCACCGGGUUUGAUGAUGCCAAAUGGAGGGAUAAAUUCAGGUUUCAUAAGAGGUACACAAGAUGGGAGUCCAAGGUAUCCCUAUGUUGGGGUUGAUGAUCAAGUUCAGAGUCCUUGGUCUAUGCAGAAUGAUGCUAAACAACAGAGAAUGUACGGUUUUGAUGGAUCUGCUGCCCCAGAGUACCUUUACCACCAUGUUUCUAGGAUAUCACUUGCUCCUGAUUCUAUUCAAGGUCCACCUGGUAUGUUACACAUGGAAUCACCUUCAAAAGCAAUACCUCUUGUACCCACGUCUUCAUGCCCGGUCAAUGGUAAGCUAGUUGCUUCUUCUGCUUCUGACUAUCACCAUUGCCCUUCAAUGGGCUCUGAUGUAAUUGAGAGAAUGCAAGUUCUGGAGGACAAAAAUCAGAUUGUAGAAGUAUAUGAAACAAAACCUGCAGAGACAACAAAGCAACCUGGUGCAGAGACAGUAAAAGAACGAGAUGAACAUCUGAACUCGUCACCAAACAAUAAACAAAAAUUAGAAUUCGAUUCAAAUGAACUGAAGCCUACAGAAGAGGAACACCACACUGUUAGAGUUGGCAAUGCUGAUGCCUCCGAUGAAAAUGGAAACAUUUCAGAGGAAAAAUUAAUUUUCUUGCCUGAAAUGAUGGCUUCUGUAAAGAGGUUAUAUCUGGAGGGUGUUGUAGAGGUGGCUGCUAAAGCCCAUGAAGAUGCUGAUGCAAAUAUUAAAUCUAUUCCUAGUAAGAAUGAUUCUUCUUCACAUGAGUUAGCAUCUGGGAAUGCCAACGCAGAUUUGGAGACAGAAUCAGAUGGAGACAGUGAAAAUCAGAAAACUUCUAAAAUCGAACCUACAACAGCUGAAGCUGAAGCUGUGGCUAGGGGAUUACAGACAAUAAAAAAUGAUGAUUUGGAAGAAAUUAGAGAGCUUGGAUCAGGCACAUAUGGGGCUGUCUACCAUGGCAAAUGGAAAGGCUCUGAUGUUGCUAUAAAGAGAAUAAAAGCUAGCUGCUUUGCUGGGAGGCCAUCUGAGAGAGAACGUUUGAUUGCAGAUUUCUGGAAGGAGGCUCUGAUACUGAGUUCACUGCAUCAUCCCAAUGUUGUUUCUUUUUACGGUGUAGUUCGUGAUGGCCCUGAUGGAAGUUUAGCAACUGUCACAGAGUUCAUGGUAAAUGGGUCUCUUAAACAAUUUCUGCAAAAGAAAGACAGGACGAUUGAUCGGCGUAAAAGACUAAUUAUAGCGAUGGAUGUUGCUUUUGGGAUGGAAUAUUUGCAUGGAAAGAAUAUAGUUCAUUUUGAUCUGAAGUGUGAGAACUUACUAGUAAACAUGAGAGAUCCACAACGACCUGUCUGUAAGAUUGGAGAUCUGGGCUUAUCAAAGGUAAAGCAACAUACCUUAGUGUCAGGGGGGGUUCGCGGAACUUUGCCAUGGAUGGCACCAGAACUGUUGAGUGGGAAAAGUCAUAUGGUAUCUGAAAAAAUUGAUGUUUAUUCGUUUGGGAUUGUCAUGUGGGAGCUGCUUACUGGGGAAGAGCCUUAUGCAAAUAUGCACUGUGCUUCCAUAAUUGGGGGGAUCGUGAACAAUACCUUGCGCCCUCAAAUCCCAACAUGGUGUGAUCCUGAGUGGAAAACUCUGAUGGAAAGUUGUUGGUCCUCUGAUCCAGCAGAGAGGCCAUCAUUCUCUGAGAUUUCACAGAAGUUGAGGAAGAUGGCUGCAGCAAUUAAUGUGAAGUGAAAGGGUCAAUACUACAUGCAGAAAUGCUUGUUCUUCUUUCCUGACAAUGUAUACCCUUUUAAUUGUCGAGAGAAAGAAAAAUAGACAGUUCAGUAUUAAGUGCCUGCUGUUCCAUAAACAUACAGGCUUUUGCAGGAAGAUGUGCUUGUUAAGCAUAUAUGAACAUUCAUGGUGUUGCGAAGCAUGCUACUGUUCUUCAUGUAGUGCAACUAUGCUUUAAUACUGUAUUGUACAGUAAAAUACCUUUUUAGACAAAGGACUUGAAGGCCUGUUAAAGAUGACCAUAUCACGUAGAGCUUUUGGGGACCUUUGGCAUUUUUUGGGAAAUAGGAUAUGUUAUGACCUAUAUCCUUUGAGUUGGAACUUGGUAUGCACUGAUGUAAGUAAAUUUUGUUGCUUCACAAUUUUCAGCCCAUCCGCAGAUGGUGCUUUAUGCUGUGUUGUAAGCAUUGGGACACAAUUUUGUUCA